GUUUUAUAUUUUAAAGUUAUUUUGAAUUUUAGAAUUUAAGUUCUUUUUAUUUUUUAAUAUUUUAUUGGGGUGAUAGAAAGAUUUAAUUAACUCUUUUUUUUUCUUUACAUUAAUAUUUGAUUUUUUGAUCCAUUUUUUAUGAUUAUAAGAAUAAAU
rnacentral:rRNA from 1 species